rnacentral:rRNA from 1 species
UAGCCGUAAACGAUACUCGCUAGGUGUCGGCCACGGUGCGACCGUUGUCGGUGCCGUAGGGAAGCCGUGAAGCGAGCCACCUGGGAAGUACGGCCGCAAGGCUGAAACUUAAAGGAAUUGGCGGGGGAGCACCACAACGGGUGGAGCUUGCGGUUUAAUUGGAUUCAACGCCGGAAAUCUUACCGGGACCGACAGCAACAUGAAGGCCAGGCUGAAGACUUUGCCGGAUUAGCUGAGAGGAGGUGCAUGGCGUAG